UACAGAGACUGCAAGCGUUAUUCGGAUUCACUGGGCGUAAAGGGUGCGCAGGCGGCCAAGUGUGUUAGGCGUGAAAGCCUGAGGCUUAACCUCAGAAUUGCACCUAAAACUACAUGGCUAGAGCAUUGGAGAGGGUAGCGGAAUUCACGGUGUAGCAGUGAAAUGCGUAGAUAUCUGGAGGAACACCGGUGGCGAAGGCGGCAUCCUGGACCGAGAUUGACGCUGAUGCGCGAAAGCCAGGGGAGCAAACGGG
rnacentral:rRNA from 1 species